rnacentral:lncRNA from 1 species
UGGAAGCUAGCUCAAUUGGCCGAACGCAUCGGGAUCGAAUUCGAGUUUCGGGGAUUCGUGGCUAAUAGUUUAGCCGAUCUCGAACCCGAAAUGCUCGAUAUUCGUCCUCCCGAGAUUGAAGUAGUAGCGGUGAACGCUGUUUUCGAGCUUCAUCCCUUGUUAGCUCGACCGGGUGGGAUCGAAAAAGUUGUUUCCUCUAUUAAAGCGAUGAAACCCAAGAUUGUCACGGUUGUUGAACAAGAAGCGAAUCACAACGGUCCGGUUUUCUUAGACCGUUUUACUGAAG